AGAACGAACGCUGGCGGCAUGCCUAACACAUGCAAGUCGAACGAGACCUUCGGGUCUAGUGGCGCACGGGUGCGUAACGCGUGGGAAUCUGCCCUUGGGUUCGGAAUAACAGCGAGAAAUUGCUGACUAAUACCGGAUGAUGACGUAAGUCCAAAGAUUUAUCGCCCAGGGAUGAGCCCGCGUAGGAUUAGCUAGUUGGUAGAGGUAAGCUCACAAGGCACGAUCUAGCUAGGUCUGAGAGGAUCGAUCACGCCACGACGUAGGGACUGACGACCACCGGCCAGACCGUCCGUACGGGAGCUAGGUAGGUAAGGAUA
rnacentral:rRNA from 1 species